UUUACCUACGGGACGCAGCAGUGAGGAAUAUUGGUCAAUGGGAGAGAUCCUGAACCAGCCAAGCCGCGUGAGGGAAGACGGCCCUAUGGGUUGUAAACCUCUUUUGUCGGAGAACAAAACCCGGGACGUGUCCCGGACUGCGUGUAUCCGAAGAAAAAGCAUCGGCUAACUCCGUGCCAGCAGCCGCGGUAAUACGUAGGGGGCAAGCGUUAUCCGGAUUUACUGGGUGUAAAGGGGGCGCAGACGGCGAUGCAAGCCAGGAGUGAAAGCCCGGGGCCCAACCCCGGGACUGCUCUUGGAACUGC
rnacentral:rRNA from 1 species